CUACGUCUGCGCACCGCCUAUCGUAGUGUUGUGAGAGUUGUGUCAGAAAGUGUGUCUCGUAAGUCUACCUAUUUAUUUACAAAAUGGCCACAAGUGGUGCAACUACAGAAACUUCAAGUGAUGAAUCACUUUAUCCUAUUGCUGUUUUAAUAGAUGAAUUAAGAAAUGAGGAUGUUCAGUUGCGGUUAAAUUCUAUCAAGAAAUUGUCAACCAUUGCCUUGGCAUUGGGAGUGGAGAGGACGCGUACAGAGCUCAUUCCAUUCUUGACUGACACAAUCUAUGAUGAAGAUGAAGUGCUGCUUGCUCUGGCUGAACAGCUCGGCACAUUCACAACUCUUGUUGGUGGACCAGAACAUGUCUAUGUUCUUCUGCGGCCCCUAGAGUCGCUGGCCACAGUUGAGGAGACCGUAGUGCGGGACAAGGCUGUGGACAGCCUGCGUCACAUAUGCCAGGAGCACAGCGUCGAGCACCUCGAACAGCAGUUUGUUCCUUUGGUUAAAAGGCUUGCUGUGGGUGACUGGUUCACUGCCAGGACUUCUGCAUGUGGUCUUUUUGCCAAUUGUUACCCAAGGCUCUCAGUUGCAACAAAAUCGGAAUUGCGGGCAUACUUCCGCUCCCUGUGUCAGGACGACACGCCAAUGGUGCGCCGUGCGGCCGCCUCGAAGCUGGGCGAGUUUGCCAAGGUGGUGGAGCCUGAGUAUCUCAAGAGUGACAUGAUCCCUAUGUUCGUGGCUCUUGCUACAGAUGAGCAGGAUUCAGUUCGUCUGCUGGCGGUAAAGGCGUGCGUGAGCAUGGCAGGACUUCUCCCUCAAGAGGACACAGAAGCUCUCGUUAUGCCCACACUUAGAGCCUCUGCAGAGGACAAGUCGUGGCGCGUCCGCUACAUGGUGGCCGACAGCUUCAUUGAGCUGCAGAACGCAGUAGGGCCAGAAAUAACGCGCAACGACCUCGUGCAGGCCUAUCAGCUCCUUCUCAAGGAUGUUGAGGCUGAGGUGCGGGCAGCUUCGGCUGGUAAACUGAAAGACUUCUGUCAGAAUCUUGAUCCGAGUGCCCAGGAAACGGUGAUCAUGAACAACAUCCUUCCCUGCGUCAAGGAGCUUGUGUCGGACAGCAAUCAACAUGUGAAGUCAGCUCUGGCGGGAGUCAUUAUGGGCCUGUCACCUAUCCUGGGUAAAGAUAACACCGUCUCUCACUUGCUGCCGCUCUUCCUCAGUCAACUCAAAGACGAAUGCCCAGAAGUUCGCCUCAAUAUUAUUUCCAAUCUGGAUUGCGUCAAUGAAGUCAUUGGUAUUCAACAGUUAUCGCAGUCGCUGUUGCCGGCAAUUGUAGAGCUGGCAGAGGACAGCAAGUGGCGAGUAAGGCUGGCCAUCAUCGAGUAUAUGCCUCUGUUGGCUGGUCAACUUGGCGUCGAGUUCUUCAAUCAAAGCUUGUCAAAACUCUGCAUGACCUGGCUUGUUGAUCAUGUUUUUGCCAUACGAGAAGCUGCGACAAAUAACCUGCGGAAACUAGUGGAGAAAUUCGGACACGACUGGGCCGAUACGCACGUGCUGCCCAAGAUCACAGCCAUGAGCAGGGACGGCAACUACUUGCAUAGAAUGACCUGCCUCGCCUGCAUCAAUGUGGUGGGGGAAGUGUGUGGCAAGGAACUGACUACUAAGACCCUCCUGCCCACCGUGCUGGCUCUGGCUCAGGACAACGUGCCCAACGUGCGCUUCAAUGUUGCCAAAACUUUGCACAUCAUCGGACCUCACAUCGAAAAAGAGAGCCUGAUGUCGCAAGUGAAACCUGUCCUGGAUCGACUGAACGAGGACCUUGACACCGACGUCCGCUACUUCGCGUCCGUCGCAUCUUUAGAGAAUGGUCUAUGCUAAUUGACCUUAAAUAUUUUAGCCCUUGGCUAAAUAAAGAGCGGGAACCCUGCUAUCCCUUUACGAAAUGGCUCCUCUUUUCGCAUGAGUACUGAAGUGAUGUACAGGCGAAUGCAACUCGUCUGCUGGACUGCCUCCUUGGUAACGAUCGUUGCCUCAUCUUCUGGCUUAAAUGUUCCAUCGCCACAUUAUGUCAGAGACUUGUUUUUAAUUUCUGUUCAGGCCUAUAUUGAUUGAUUUUUUAUUACUACUGCAUCAAUGGGAAUCCACUUUCGUGUUCUAAUGAAUAUACUUCAGUGGAAGAUCGUCGUUUGCCGUAGUAUUGUAGGCAUAAAAUGCAAUGUUUACGACAGUGCUUAUUGUUGCGAGAGAAAAAUUCAACUUAUUUUAGCAGUGAGCUAAUGGUCAAAUAUUAUUAAUCAAUAAUUAUAAUUUCUUCUGUUCACUCCUGUUUCAUUAAAGGAAGAGUUUUAAGUAAGUGUAUGAUCCCGACAACAUACCAAUAAGUUUAAUAUUACUUACCAACUUCUUGGUCGGUGUCAACUAUUCACGUCGAUCAAUUAAUUGCAUACAAGUGUAAAAUAGAUAGUGUCCCGCGAUGUUUUCUACUACUAUUCACCCAGCUCUGCUGUAUUUACGCCGCAGGUCCCCUUGUAGCAAUUUAUGUUACUCAAACCUAUAGCUAUUUUUGUGCUAAAUAAACGUUAGUUUGCUUGACAUCUGAUAUCAUGAGUGAUCAGCUGUGCUGUUGGAGUUUUUUUUUUAUUGCUGGUAGGUAAUUUUGAAUUUUUGUAUGGUGCUUUGAGUGGCUGAAAUGUCAGUUGAGUAACGAAAAGCGUUCAUAAGAAGCGUCCCGUGAAAUAUUGCCUUUUGUGCUCAAUGUCAUUGAAAGUUAUCCCACUCCAAUAUAUUCGUAUUGUAACAUACUAUUGUUUUGAAUGUCGCUUAUGGUUUUCAUAAAGAAAGUUCUUAUAAUCUGCCUAACAGUGAAGCCUCACGCAGCAGGUAGGUUUCGGUAAUACGAUUAUGAAAGUUUCUCUUCUCUCUCUUGCAUUUUAGGAUAAGUUACACUACUCCAACUCUACAUCCUUAUCUAUGUCACUAUUAAGGCCGAUAAUCUUUUUGUACAUAGAAAUAUUACUCAUUGACGUUAGGUAAGAAUCAGUAUUGACACACCCUCGCCGGUCACUGUGAAAUGAAUAAAAGAACUAAUCCUG